CAGGAGCUUCUGGGGAGGAGCCUCUGGGAGGAAGUUGGCCAUGCCCCUUCCUGUCCCAGGCUGCUGCUGCUGUGGCUGGUUGCUGCAAGCUUGGUCUUGGGAGCCUCUGGGGAGAAGAUGGCCAGGCCCUUUCCUGCCUCUGGCUACUAUUAACUGCUGGCUUGAUCUCAGAGCUUCUGGACAGAAGCACACCCUGAGUGGCUGAACUGGAUGGCUCCUACCAUCGCUGCUGCUGCCCCCUCAGGAGAGAGGGAGAUUCCCUACUACAGCACCUGACACCACACCUGCCUGGAUCACUUCCUAAUUGACUGACUGCUCCUACCCUCCCUCACAGCUACCUUGCUGCAUCUGAUCCUGACUUGUCUACCUGCCUACUGCUGAGUGCCUGGCUGGAGGCCUGAGGGGCUUCUGGACAGAUCUUCUACAAACAAAGCUCCUCCACUGCUCCAGCCAUCUUUUACACCUGCCUCAGCAGCCUUCCCUGUGUGGUUUUUGCCCUUGUGUGCUAAUUCCUGUGGUCCAUUCCCCCUGACCUGGUGUUUUUUGUGUGGCUGAGUAAGCCAGCUCAGGUUUCCCCAGCCCUUGUGUGUGGCUUUUGGUUUUGUUUUGUUCCCUCCCUCCCCCCCCCACACACAUUUUCAAAGCAUAGGCCUCUCAGGUUUUUUCAUUUUUUUUUUUUUUUUUUUUU